rnacentral:lncRNA from 1 species
CUGAGUCAGGCACGGCAUGAGCUCUGCCUUUUGCCAUGCUGGUGUCUGGGGAGCUGAGCACUUUGUUCAUAGUGGAGGAUGGAUUGUGUGAGACCGGAAAAGAGAGAGAAGGUAACUCUUCAUGCUUCACGUGCUGGAAUGAGAGACCAAAGAAAGAGGAAAUGCAAAAGAAACAGUGGAGGACUUAAAUUUGCAGGAGGAAGGAAGCAUAAGGAGAAGAAGGAUCACCAUUCAUGUUGGCCUUGUCCAGAGGCAAACCCCAAGUGUUUUUACAUUCAGUGAAUUCUUACGUGGUUGGAGCUAUGUGCCUCAACUGUAGCUGAUAAAAUAAAUAAACUCUGUAUCUAACUUUUACCUUGCUA